AUUAUUAUUUAAUAGUAUUAUUAGUAUUAUAAUUCAUAUUACUAUUAUUCCUUUUAAUAGUAUUAUUGUUACUAGUAUUAUUAUUAGUGAUGCACCGAUAUGACAUUUUCGGCCAAUAUUUUCCUAGUUAAAUGAACACACACACACACACACACACACACACACACACACACACACACACACACACACACACACACACUGUUGGCAUUGACGUAUGUCCCUAUUACUAGUAAAUGUAAUCAAAACCUAUUUCUUUCACUUACUUGCUGUGCUGUUUCGUUGUUCUUUUGUUCAGUCAUUUCAUUUUUUAUUUUAUUUAUUUAACCUUUAUCUAACCAGGGAGGCCAGUUGAUAACAAGUUCUCAUUUACAACUGCGACCUGGCCAAGAUAAAGCAAAGCAGUGCGACAAAAACAACAGAGUUACACAUAAACAAACGUACAGUCAAUAACACAAUAUAACAAAUGCUACGGGUGGGUGUUGCUAUGGUGACCAGCGAGCUGAGAUAAGGCGGGGCUUUACCUAGCAAAGACUUAUAGAUGACCUGGAGCCAGUGGGUUUAGCGAUGAAUAUGAAGCGAGGGCCAGCCAACGAGAGCGUACCGGUUGCACUAUUGUAAAGUGGCUGUUCCACUGGAUGUCAGAAGGUGAAUUCACCAAUUUGUAAGUCGCUCUGGAUAAGAGCGUCUGCUAAAUGACUUAAAUGUUAAAUGUGUUGCAGUGGUGGGUAGUGUAUGGGGCUUUGGUGACAAAAUGGAUGGCACUGUGAUAGACUGCAUCCAAUUUGUUGAGUAGAUUGUUGGAGGCUAUUUUGUAAAUGACAUCGCCGAAGUCAAGGAUCGGUAGGAUAGUCAGUUUGACAAGGGUAUGUUUGGCAGCAUGAGUGGAGGAUGUUUGUUACGAAAUAGUAAGCCGAUACUAGAUUUAAUUUUGGAUUGGAGAUGUUUAAUGUUGAGUCUGGGAAGAGAGUUUACAGUCCAACCAGACACCUAGGUAUUUGUAGUUGUCCACAUAUUGAACCACUGGGUUAGUCAGGUGACCUGGGUCUAGAAGGCCCCUCUGAUGAUUUAGAAACAGACCGUGUGGAUGUUAUAAGGUUUAUAUGUCUCAAGAUGUUUGCUCACUUCAAUAGUGUCUUUGGUUAUUCUCAGAGGAACUGAGAGGAAUGUCAUCAAUACGAUUAUACAUCUGUAUGUUAUUAUGUUGUCGUGUUCCAGGACAUGACCUCUUCUGCCCUUCGCCCCUCUGAUGUCCUUUAUUCUGACAGCAGCAGAAAGCCCUUCCCAACCACUACCCUGACAGCAGCAGAAAGCCCUUCCCAACCACUGAUCUGACAGCAGCAGAAAGCCCUUCCCAACCACUGAUCUGACAGCAGGAGAAAGCCCUUCCCAACCACUGGUCUGACAGCAGCAGAAAGCCCUUCCCAACCACUGAUCUGACAGCGGCAGAAAGCCCUUCCCAACCACUGAUCUGACAGCAGGAGAAAGCCCUUCCCAACCACUGAUCUGUCAGCAGGAGAAAGCCCUUCCCAACCACUGAUCUGACAGCAGCAGAAAGCCCUUCCCAACCACUGAUCUGUCAGCAGCAGAAAGCCCUUCCCAACCACUGGUCUGACAGCCGCAGAAAGCCCUUCCCAACCACUGGUCUGACAGCAGCAGAAAGCCCUUCCCAACCACUGGUCUGACAGCAGCAGAAAGCCCUUCCCAACCACUGAUCUGACAGCAGCAGAAAGCCCUUCCCAACCACUGGUCUGUCAGCAGCAGAAAGCCCUUCCCAACCACUGAUCUGACAGCAGGAGAAAGCCCUUCCCUCCUGACCCUCCUGACCCUCCUGACCCUGACACAGUGACUUCCUGACCCUGACACAGUGACCCCCUGACCUCACACUGCUGUGUUUUAUAGCACAGUGACCACGGUGACCUCCUGACCCUGACACAGUGACACCCUCCCCCGACCUCAGACUUCUGUGUUUACACAGACAGUAUUGUAACACGGAUGUAACAUUAAAACACAUAGGCCUAGGUAACAUGUAUGUAACAUGUAUGUAACAUGUAUGUGCUCUGCUGUAGGAGCACACUAUCCGGUAGUGUUCUGAGCCACCCCACCCCCCCAAACCCCCACCCUCCACACCUCCAGAUUCAGAAAUGGCCCCCUAUUCCCAAUAUAGUGCACUACUUUCUUUUGAUAUGCGGGGGACCCCUGAGUUAGAAUCGCCGCCAGUCGCAGAACCCUCGCUCUGUUGCUAUGGCGAUGCCCUAAAUAAGCUAGGGUACCAAAACCCCGCCCCUCCUUCCCUUCCACUGCUCUCUAGAAUAGAUACCUCGUCUCCUCUAUCACGUCUCGUUGUUUCUUCUCCUCUCCAUCGUUAAACCGGCAUUCCUGAUUAAUGUGAUUCAUUUGUUGUUGUUGUUGUUGUUGUUGUUGUUGUGAUUCCGAUUUGAUGUUAUUAUUCUAUUUCAGCAUCGCUCUUUAAACGAUGAGUCAGUUUGUGAAUGAACUGGCUAACAACAGACCAAUCACGCGUCAGAAUAGGAGCCGUACGCUGACCAAUCACGCGUCAGAAUAGGAGCCGUACGCUGACCAAUCACGCGUCAGAAUAGGAGCCGUACGCUGACCAAUCACGCGUCAGAAUAGGAGCCGUACGCUGGCCAAUCACACGUCAAAAUAGGAGACGUACGCUGACCAAUCAAGCGUCAGAAUAGGAGCCGUACGCUGACCAAUCACGCGUCAGACUAGGAGACGUACGCUGACCAAUCACGAGUCAGAAUAGGAGCCGUACGCUGACCAAUCACACGUCAGACUAGGAGAUGUACGCUGACCAAUCACACGUCAGACGAGGAGCCGUACGGUUGACCGCCAGUUUGGGAUGGUACAGACAGCUCUUAAUGCUGCAGUCUGUGAUUUAGCUCGUCCCCCUUGUGGUCACAGGACGAAAUGCACAAACAAUCAACACUCAAAACUAAACAUAUUAAGCCAAUCGAUGCAUAGACUCGUGAAGAACCUCUGCUUACAAACAAUGGUUGGUUUGAGUGUCAGUAGGGAGCAGGACUAACAGAGUUCUACUGCCACAGACCGACUGGUGUUCUCCAGCCCUUAUGGUUAUUACACUUCAUAGACAGGUCAUAGAGGUAUCAUAGACAGGUCAUAGACGGGUCAUAGAGGUGUUAUAGACAGGUCAUAGACAGGUCAUAGAGGUGUCAGACUGUUCAUAGACAGGUCAUAGAGGUGUCAUAGACAGGUCAUAGAGGUGUUAUAGACAGGUCAUAGAGGUGUUAUAGACAGGUCAUAGAGGUGUUAUAGACAGGUCAUAGAGGUGUCAUAGACAGGUCAUAGAGGUGUUAUAGACAGGUCAUAGAGGUGUUAUAGACUGUUCAUAGACAGGUCAUAGAGGUGUCAUAGACAGGUCAUAGAGUUGUCGUCGAUAGAGUUACCAUACGUUUGUCAGAUCUGUAUUAUGUAUCUCAUAGAUCAGCCAUGUUUUAUAACAUAUAGACAGGUUAACGUGUUACAGAACUAUAAACGACUUGUUAUGAACAGGUAAUAACUGGUCUACGGCACUGAGAGUCUGUCUCUACUGCCACAACAGCUGUUAUACCAUGACAUAAGUAUAUUAUAAACAUGUUAUGAACAUGUUAUGAACAUGUUAUAAAUGUUUAAUAAGGGUAGUAGUCAGUCUCUCCACUGCCACAACACCACACCUGUUAUACCAUGACAUAAGUAUAUUAUAAACAUGUUAUGAACAUGUUAUGAACAUGUUAUAAAUGUUUAGUAAGGGUAGUCGUCAGUCUCUCUACUGCCACAACACUGCCUCAGACGUUGCCAUGGUUUCUAAUGUAAAUAAGUCACGCCCACUUUCUACACCGCCCAUGGGCCUUUAUAAACCCUCUUCACGCUCUUCAUAGGAGCUCUAUAACUCCAUACGUAGUGGUUAUAAGUGUUUAUAAUGCUAUAAGUGUUUCUGUGGAGCUGGCCAUUGGGCUGGACUACCAUCGACAGAGAGCAGGGUUUUGUUUCCACCAAGCAGUAACACACCUGAUGAUUCUACUUGUCAAAAUCUUUGAUUUAAUGUUACUGUGAUGAUGAUGAUGAUGAUGUGUUUUCUAUGUGUCAUUUUAAUAACAAGCUUUUAUAUCAUUGAGA